CCCUGCCAUUUGUACACACCGCCCGUCGCUACUACCGAUUGAAUGGCUUAGUGAGCCUUUGGGAUUGGCAGCUUGUACCGGCAACGGUAGCAGGCAGCCGAAAACUUAGGCAAACUUGGUCAUUUAGAGGAAGUAAAAGUCGUAACAAGGUUU
rnacentral:rRNA from 1 species